rnacentral:rRNA from 1 species
GACGAACGCUGGCGGCGUGCCUAAUACAUGCAAGUAGAACGCACAGUUUAUACCGUAGCUUGCUACACCAUAGACUGUGAGUUGCGAACGGGUGAGUAACGCGUAGGUAACCUGCCUGGUAGCGGGGGGUAACUAUUGGAAACGAUAGCUAAUACCGCAUAAUAUUGAUUAUUGCAUGAUAAUUGAUUGAAAGAUGCUAUUGCAUCACUACCAGAUGGACCUGCGUUGUAUUAGCUAGUAGGUGAGGUAACGGCUCACCUAGGCGACGAUACAUAGCCGACCUGAGAGGGUGAUCGGCCACACUGGGACGGAGACACGGCCCAGACUCCUACGGGAGGCAGCAGUAGGGAAUCUUCGGCAAUGGACGAAAGUCUGACCGAGCAACGCCGCGUGAGUGAAGAAGGUUUUCGGAUCGUAAAGCUCUGUUGUAAGAGAAGAACGGGUGUGAGAGUGGAAAGUUCACACUGUGACGGUAUCUUACCAGAAAGGGACGGCUAACUACGUG